rnacentral:tRNA from 1 species
GUCCAGGGGCGGGAAACGAACCCACAAUGUUCCGCUUACCGGGCAGAUGCCAUGUCCACUUGGCUACCCUGGA